AUAGCUAUAGUUUAAUGGAUAAAAUAUUAGGCUACGAACCUAAAGAUAAGAGUUCGAUUCUCUUUAGCUAUA
rnacentral:tRNA from 1 species